rnacentral:rRNA from 1 species
AGUGAACGCUGGCGGUAGGCCUAACACAUGCAAGUCGAACGGCAGCACAGUAAGAGCUUGCUCUUACGGGUGGCGAGUGGCGGACGGGUGAGGAAUACAUCGGAAUCUACUUUUUCGUGGGGGAUAACGUAGGGAAACUUACGCUAAUACCGCAUACGACCUACGGGUGAAAGCAGGGGAUCUUCGGACCUUGCGCGAUUGAAUGAGCCGAUGUCGGAUUAGCUAGUUGGCGGGGUAAAGGCCCACCAAGGCGACGAUCCGUAGCUGGUCUGAGAGGAUGAUCGGCAAAACGGGACUUGAGACACGUUCCAGAUUCUAAGGGGAGGCAGCAGUGGGGAAUAUGGGCAAAUGGGCGAAAGCCUGAUCAAGCCAUACGGGGUGGGUGAAGAAGGCCUUCGGGUUGUAAAGCCCUUUUGUGGGGAAAAAAAGCCAGCAGGUUAAAACCCGGCGGUUUGGACGGAACCAAAGGAAUAAGCACCGCUUAACUUCGU